AAAAAUAAACAUGCAUCAGAAUCACCUGGAAAUCUUGUUAAGACACAGGUUGCUGGGUUCUACUCUGGACAUAAUGACAGGGGUCAUGCAGUAUGGAUGUGUUGCUCUGCUGCUGGAGACCCGAGCACUGAUUUGACCAGUACCAUCAGAUAUAUCCUGCACAGCACUCUUGGCAACAACAAUGGCGUAAUGCAGAUACCGUGGCUUUAGGAGGUGUGGUUGGUAAUGGAUGGACUUGGAUUUGGAACUGUCUCAAAGAUUUACUUUGGAUCCUCUGUGAUGUUUCAAGCCCUUCAUUUUGGCAAGCCUGUCAUUUGCCAGUUGUCAAGUAGGUUGAGUCAUUAGUCUGGCCUUGUCAUCUGGGAGCCUCCAAAUGAUUGAUAUGGUUCUGCUACACUUCCCAACGGGAUAAUUAAGUGUCCACUCAGCUCUGUCUACCUGUUUUUAUGAAAAGUAAAAUGAAAUAAAAAAUUACGUUAUUCUUUUUUUUUUUCUACCUGUGAAAGCA